UGCCAGCCGCCGCGGUAAUACGAAUGGGGCAAGCGUUGUUCGGAAUCACUGGGCUUAAAGCGUGCGUAGGCGGAUUUGCAAGUCAGGAGUGAAAUCCCGGGGCUCAACCCCGGAACUGCUCUUGAAACUGCAAGUCUAGAAACCGGUAGGGGUAAAUGGAAUUCCGAGUGUAGAGGUGAAAUUCGCAGAUAUUCGGAGGAACACCAGUGGCGUAGGCGAUUUACUGGACCGGUCUUGACGCUGAGGUACGAAAGCGUGGGUAGCAAGCAGGAUUAGAUA
rnacentral:rRNA from 1 species